rnacentral:rRNA from 1 species
GACGUAGGGCGCGAGCGUUGUCCGGAUUUAUUGGGCGUAAAGAGCUCGUAGGCGGCUCGUUGCGUCAACCGUGAAAACCCGGGGCUUAACUUCGGGCUUGCGGUUGAUACGGGCGGGCUGGAGUUCGGUAGGGGAGACUGGAAUUCCUGGUGUAGCGGUGAAAUGCGCAGAUAUCAGGAGGAACACCGGUGGCGAAGACGGGUCUCUGGGCCGAUACUGACGCUGAGGAGCGAAAGCGUGGGGAGCGAACAGG